rnacentral:rRNA from 1 species
UAGAUACCCGGGUAGUCCACACUGUAGACGAUGAUUACUAGGUGUGGGGGGUCUGACCCCUUCCGUGCCGGAGUUAACACAAUAAGUAAUCCACCUGGGGAGUACGGCCGCAAGGUUGAAACUCAAAGGAAUUGACGGGGGCCCGCACAAGCAGUGGAGUAUGUGGUUUAAUUCGAAGCAACGCGAAGAACCUUACCAGGUCUUGACAUCCCUUGCAUAUCCUAGAGAUAGGAGAAGUCCUUCGGGACAAGGAGACAGGUGGUGCAUGGCCGCCGUCAG